rnacentral:rRNA from 2 species
AAAAUGACUCUCGGCAACGGAUAUCUCGGCUCUCGCAUCGAUGAAGAACGUAGCGAAAUGCGAUACUUGGUGUGAAUUGCAGAAUCCCGUGAACCAUCGAGUUUUUGAACGCAAGUUGCGCCCCAAGCCUUUAGGCCGAGGGCACGCCUGCCUGGGUGUCACACA